GAUGAACGCUGGCGGCGUGCCUAAUACAUGCAAGUCGAGCGAACGGACGAGAAGCUUGCUUCUCUGAUGUUAGCGGCGGACGGGUGAGUAACACGUGGAUAACCUACCUAUAAGACUGGGAUAACUUCGGGAAACCGUAGCUAAUACCGGAUAAUAUUUUGAACCGCAUGGUUCAAAAGUGAAAGACGGUCUUGCUGUCACUUAUAGAUGGAUACGCGCUGCAUUAGCUAGUUGGUAAGGUAACGGCUUACCAAGGCAACGAUGCAUAGCCGACCUGAGAGGGUGAUCGGCCACACUGGAACUGAGACACGGUCCAGACUCCUACGCGAGGCAGCAGUAGGGAAUCUUCCGCAAUGGACGAAAGCCUGACGGAGCAACGCCGCGUGAGUGAUGAAGGUCUUCGGAUCGUAAAACUCUGUUAUUAGUGAAGAACAUAUGUGUAAUUAACUGUGCACAUCUUGACGGUACCUAAUCAGAAAGCCACGGCUAACUACGUG
rnacentral:rRNA from 1 species